AUUGAACGCUAGCGGCAUGCCUUACACAUGCAAGUCAAACGGAGUGGCGAACGGGUGAGUAAUGCAUCGGAACGUGCCCAGUAGCGGGGGAUAACUUCGCGAAAGCGUAGCUAAUACCGCAUACUAUUGGCUCGGCCGAUAUCGGAUUAGCUAGUUGGUGGGGUAACGGCGCACCAAGGCGACGAUCCGGAGCUGGUUUGAGAGGACGACCAGCCACACUGUGACUGAGACACGGCCCAGACUCCUACGGGAGGCAGCAGUGGGGAAUAUUGGACAAUGGGAGAAAGCCUGAUCCAGCCAUGCCGCGUGUGCGAAGAAGGCCUUCGGGUUGUAAAGCACUUUUGGCAGGGAGGCGGUACCAGCAGAAUAAGCACCGGCUAACUACGUGCCAGCAGCCGCGGUAAUAC
rnacentral:rRNA from 1 species